AAAGGAAUUGACGGGGGCCCGCACAAGCAGUGGAGUAUGUUGUUUAAUUCGAAGCAACGCGAAGAACCUUACCAGGUCUUGACAUCGAGUGAAAGCUCUAGAGAUAGAGCCCUCCCUUCGGGGACACGAAGACAGGUGGUGCAUGGUUGUCGUCAGCUCGUGUCGUGAGAUGUUGGGUUAAGUCCCGCAACGAGCGCAACCCUUAUUAUUAGUUGCUACGCAAGAGCACUCUAAUGAGACUGCCGUUGACAAAACGGAGGAAGGUGGGGAUGACGUCAAAUCAUCAUGCCCUUUAUGACCUGGGCUACAAACGUACUACAAUGGCGUAUAACAACGGGAAGCUAAGCCGCGAGGUGGAGCAAAUCCCCAAAAUACGUCUCAGUUCGGAUUGCAGGCUGCAACUCGCCUGCAUGAAGUCGGAAUUGCUAGUAAUCGCAGAUCAGCAUGCUGCGGUGAAUACGUUCCCGGGCCUUGUACACACCGCCCGU
rnacentral:rRNA from 1 species